rnacentral:lncRNA from 1 species
AUGCUAAUCCUAAAGCGCUUCCUCGCCUGUAUUCAGCUCCUCUGUGUUUGCCGCCUGGAUUGGGUUUAUGGAUACUACAGACAACAGAGAAAACUUGUUGAAGAGAUUGGCUGGUCCUAUACAGGAGCAUUGAAUCAAAAAAAUUGGGGAAAGAAAUAUCCAACAUGUAAUAGCCCCAAACAGUCUCCUAUCAAUAUUGAUGAAGAUCUUACACAAGUAAAUGUGAAUCUUAAGAAACUUAAAUUUCAGGAUUGGGAUAAAACAUCUUUGGAAAACACAUUCAUUCAUAACACUGGGAAAACAGUGGAAAUUAAUCUCACUAAUGACUACCGUCUCAGUGGAGGGGUUUCAGAAACAGUGUUCAAAGCAAGCAAGAUAGCUUUUCACUGGGGAAAAUGCAAUAUGUCAUCUGAUGGAUCAGAACAUAGUUUAGAAGGGCAAAAAUUUCCACUAGAGAUGCAGAUCUACUGCUUUGAUGCAGACCGAUUUUCAAGUUUUGAAGAAGCAAUUAAAGGAAAAGGGAAGUUAAGAGCUUUAUCCAUUUUAUUUGAGGUUGGAAUAGAAGAAAAUUUGGACUACAAAGCAAUUAUAGAUGGAGUGGAGAGGGUUAGUCGUUUUGGGAAACAGGCUGCGCUGGAUCCAUUCACAUUGCUAAACCUUCUGCCAAACUCAACGGACAAGUAUUACACUUACAAUGGCUCCCUGACAUCGCCUCCCUGCACAGACACCGUUGACUGGAUUAUUUUUAAAGAUACAGUUAGCAUUUCUGAAAGCCAGUUGGCUGUUUUCUGUGAAGUUCUUACAAUGCAACAGUCUGGUUAUGUCAUGUUGAUGGACUACUUACAAAAUAAUUUUCGAGAACAACAGUACAAGUUCUCCAGGCAGGUGUUUUCCUCAUAUACUGGAAAGGAAGAGAUUCAUGAAGCAGUUUGUAGUUCAGAACCAGAAAAUGUUCAAGCUGACCCAGAGAAUUAUACUAGCCUUCUUGUUACAUGGGAGAGACCUCGAGUAGUUUAUGAUACCAUGAUCGAGAAGUUUGCCGUUCUGUACCAGCAGUUGGAGGGAGAAGACCAAACCAAGCAUGAGUUUUUGACAGAUGGCUAUCAAGAUUUGGGUGCUAUUCUUAAUAAUUUACUACCCAAUAUGAGUUAUGUUCUUCAAAUAGUAGCCAUAUGCACUAAUGGCUUAUAUGGAAAAUACAGUGACCAGCUGAUUGUGGACAUGCCUUCUGAUGACCCUGAACUUGACCUCUUUCCCGAAUUAAUUGGAACUGAAGAAAUAAUCAAGGAAGAAGAAGAGGGAAAGGACAUGGAAGGAGACACUGUUGUGAAUCCUGGUAGAGACGGUGCCACAAACCAGAUCAGGAGAAAGGAACCCCAGAUUUCUACCACAACAAAUUACAACCGAGUGGGGACCAAAUACAACGAGGCCAAGACUAACCGCUCCCCAGCAAGAGGAAGCGGGUUCUCUGGAAAGAGUGAUAUUCCCAACACAUCUUUAGAUUCCACCUCCCAGCCAGUCACUGAAUUAGACCCAGAAAAAGACGUUCUUUCGACUUCACGGACUGUGACCCAGCCUCCCCCUCUCACUCUGGCAGGCACUUCAGCCUCUUCAAGUGACGCCUCUAAAACCAUUCUCCGAUUUCCACAGAUGAACUUGUCCGGGACGGUGGAAUAUUCAGAUACAGUGUCCACGACGGAAUCGCAAGAGGUAUCUACUGAUAUCAGUGAGGAAGAGAGUUUAUUGACCAGUUUCAAGCUCGAUCCAGGAGCCGAUGAUUCUUCCGGUUCCAGUCCCGCAACUUCCGCUGUGCCAUUCGUCUCCGAGAACACAUCCCCUGGCGAUGUAUUAUUUCCUUCAGAAAACCCAGAGGCCGUCACAUACGAUGUCUUUAUCCCAGAAUCUGCGAGAAAUGCUUCAGAAGAUUCCGCCUCCUCAGGUUCAGAAGAAUCUCUCAAGGAUCCUUCCGUUGAUGGAAAUAUGUGGUUUCCUAGUACAACAGACGUGACGACGAUGCCCGAUGUCGGGUCAGGUAGAGAGAGCUUUCUCCAGACUAAUUACACCGACGUGGAUAGUGACGAAUCUGAGAAGACAACAGAAUCCUCUCCUCCAGGCCCACUGCCGUCACAGGGCCCCUCGGUCUCAGAUGUGCGAAUGCCACAGUAUUCUACCUUUGCAUACUUCCCCACUGAGGUGACACCUCACGCUUUUACUCCGUCCUCCGGACAACACCAUUCGGUCCCCACCGUCAACGUGGUACACGCGCAGACAACUCAACCAGUGUACAAUGGUGAGGCACCUCUCCAACCUUCCUACAGUAGUGAAGUCUUUCCUCUAGUCACCCCCUUGUUGCUUGACAACCAGACCCUCAACACUACCCCUGCUGCUUCAAGUAGUGAUUGGGCCUUGCAUGCUACACCUGUAUUUCCCAGUGUCGGUGUGUCCUUCGAAUCCAUCCUGUCUUCCUCUGAUGGUGCGCCUUUGCUCCCAUUUUCCUCCGCUUCCUCCAGUAGUGAAUUGCUUCACCGUGUGUAUACGAUCUCUCAGAUCCUUCCGCAAAUUACUGCAGCUCUUGAGAGCGAUCAGGGGUCCCUGCAUGUUUCUCUGCCGGUGGCUGGGGGUGAUUUGCUAUUAGAGCCCAGCCUUGCUCCGUAUUCUGAUGCCAUGUCGCAUCAGAUCACUACGCGUGCUGCUUCGGAGACCUUGGAAUUUGGUGCUAGCAAGCCUGCUGUCCUUUAUCAAACGCUUAUGUUUUCUCCAGCUGAAGCAUCCAGCAGUGAUGUCCUGAUGCAUGCACGUUCUUCAGGGCCUGAACCUUAUGCCUUAACUAAUGAGGAGGGCUCCCAACACCUCUUCAGGGUUUCUGACAGUUCUGCGGUACCUGGGCGUGAUUCUGUUCAGGGUUCUUUAUCUAGCAGCCCUAGUCACCACCUACCGAUGCCCGAGUCUCCCUUAGUAACCCCAAGCGCAUCGUUGCUGCAGCCCACUCAGGGCGUCUCAGGUGAUGGGGAGUGGUCUGGAGCCUCCUCUGAUAGUGAAUUUUUUGUGCCUGACACAGAUGGUCUGACAGCCCUUAAUAUGUCUUCACCCGUUUCUGUAGCUGAGUUUACAUAUCCAACCUCUAUGUCUGGUGACAAUAACAAGCUACUUUCUAAAAGUGACACAAUACACGGAGAGGAGACAGAACGGCACAUUUCUUCUUUCAGUGACCUGGUUUACCCCUCUGAAAGCACAGUCAUGCCUGACCUGUAUGAUCAUGUAAAUACAUUGAAUGCCUCUUUACAAGAAUCCUCUGCUUCCACUUCUAGCCCAGAGGGCAUCCUCCCAGAGCUUCUUGUUUUAACUGCCACUAAGGUUUAUGAUCAUGAGAUUAGUCAAAUUCCAGAAAGUAACUUUCCGGUUCAGUCUUCACACGCUGUAUUUCAAGCAUUUGGUGACACUUCGCUUAAAUCUGCACACUCAGAGCCAGCAUCCUCUGACCCUACUUCUAGUGAAAUGUUAUCUCCUUCAACUCAGCUCUUAGUUUAUGAGCCCUCAGCUUCUUUUAGUACUGAAGUAUUGCUGCAACCUUCCUUUCAGGCUUCUGGUAUUGACUUGUUGCUUAAAACUGAUCUGCCAGCUAUGCCUAGUGACCCAAUAGUGGUUGAAACCCCCAAGGUUGAGCACAUUAGUUCUACAGUAUCACAUCUCGUGGCAUCCAAUGCCGCUUCAAGGGAAAAUACGCUGCACUCUACAUCUGUACCAAUCUCUGAUGUAUCACCUACUCCUAAUACGCACGCUGCUUCACUUCAAGCUUUAACCAUUUCUUAUGCAAGUGAGAAAUAUUCUGAACCAGUUUUGCAUAAAAGCGAAAGUUCCCACCAAACAGUACCUUCAUUGUCCAAUAAUGAUGAGUUGUUCCAAACUGCCAAUUUGGAGCUUAACCAGGUCUUUCCUCCAGAAGGAAGGCAUGCAUUUGCAACUCCUGUUUUAUCAGUUGUACCACCAGAUACGCUUAUAAGUAAGCUUGUUUAUUCUGAUGAAGUCUUCACCUCCACCAAGGGCCCAGUCACCGAUGAGGUAUUGGCUGGUAUUCCUACAGUUGUUUCUGAUCCAGUUGUAACUGCUGAUCCUUCUGUCCCUUUAGGAAAUGUGUAUGUUUCCAUUUCAGCCAUUUCUCCAAACAAGGAUGGUUCUGUAACCACAACCGAGUUGCUGUUUCCUUCUAGAACAACUUCUGAGCCAAUUCAAAGUGCCCGAUCUGAUGCCAGUUUGGUGGGUGGUGGUGACGAUGGUGAUAUUGAUGAUUACGGUGAUGAUUAUUAUGAUGACAGAGAUAAAGAUGGCUUAUCUAUCAAUAGGUGUAUGUCAUGCUUCUCCUAUAGAGAAUCACAGGAAAAGGUAAUGAAUGACUCAGACACCCAGCAGAACAGUUCUGUGGAUCAGAAUAACCCAAUCUCAUAUGCACUAUCUGAGAAUUCUGAAGAAGGAAAUAAAAUCACAGGUGUUAUAUCAGACAAUCAGACUGAUAUGGACAGAAGUCCUGAUAAAUCACCACCAACAAAUGUGCCAGCCCAGAAGCACAAUGAUGGAAAACAGGAAAAUGAUGUUCAGACUAACAAUGCCCUGCUUCCUUUCAGCCCAGAAUCUAAAGCUUGGGCAGUUCUUACAAGUGAUGAAGAGAGUGGAUCAGGGCAAGGUGCCUCAGAUAGCCUUAAUGAUAACGAGACUUCCACAGAUUUCAGUUUUCCUGAUAUUAAUGAAAAAGAUGGUGAUGGGGUACUGGAAACAGGUGACUCAGAAAUAACUCCUGGAUCCCCACAGUCCUCAACACCGACUAUUACUAGCGGGCAUUCAGAAGUGUUCAACAUUUCAGAGGCAGAGGCCAGUAAUAGUAGCCAUGAGUCUCGUAUUGGUCUAGCUGAGGGGCUGGAAUCCGAGAAGAAGGCGGUUAUACCCCUUGUGAUCGUGUCGGCCCUGACUUUUAUCUGUCUAGUGGUUCUUGUGGGUAUUCUCAUCUACUGGAGGAAAUGUUUCCAGACCGCACAUUUUUAUUUAGAGGACAGUACGUCCCCUCGAGUAAUAUCCACACCUCCAACACCUAUCUUUCCAAUUUCAGAUGAUGUUGGAUCAAUUCCAAUAAAGCACUUUCCAAAGCAUGUUGCAGACUUACAUGCAAGUAGUGGGUUUACUGAAGAAUUUGAGGAGGUACAGAGCUGUACUGUUGAUUUAGGUAUCACAGCAGACAGCUCCAAUCACCCCGACAAUAAGCACAAGAACCGAUACAUAAAUAUUGUUGCCUAUGAUCAUAGUAGAGUUAAACUCGCACAACUUGCUGAGAAGGAUGGCAAACUGACUGAUUAUAUCAAUGCCAAUUAUGUUGAUGGCUACAACAGACCAAAAGCUUACAUUGCUGCCCAAGGCCCACUGAAAUCCACCGCCGAAGACUUCUGGAGAAUGAUAUGGGAGCAUAAUGUGGAAGUUAUUGUCAUGAUAACGAACCUUGUGGAGAAAGGAAGGAGAAAGUGUGACCAGUACUGGCCUGUGGAUGGCAGUGAAGAGUAUGGGAACUUUCUGGUCACUCAAAAGAGUAUUCAAGUGCUUGCUUAUUAUACUGUGAGGAAUUUUACUCUAAGAAACACAAAGAUCAAAAAGGGUUCCCAAAAAGGAAGACCCAGUGGGCGCGUGGUUACCCAGUACCACUACACUCAGUGGCCUGACAUGGGGGUGCCCGAGUACUCCCUGCCAGUGCUAACCUUUGUGAGAAAGGCCUCGCAUGCCAAGCGCCACGCAGUAGGGCCUGUUGUUGUCCACUGCAGUGCUGGAGUUGGAAGAACGGGCACGUACAUCGUGCUAGACAGUAUGCUGCAGCAAAUUCAACAUGAAGGAACCGUCAACGUAUUUGGCUUUUUAAAACACAUUCGUUCACAAAGAAAUUACUUGGUGCAAACUGAGGAACAGUAUGUCUUCAUUCAUGAUGCACUGGUCGAGGCCAUACUCAGUAAAGAAACUGAGGUCCCGGACAGCCACAUCCAUGCCUAUGUUAACGGGCUCCUCAUUCCUGGACCAACGGGCAAAACAAAGCUAGAGAAGCAAUUCAAGUAUAGUGCUAAGAGCUUACUUGUUUCUGAUGAAUGUUCUGUGUUCCCAGUGGAAAGAUCCAGGGUUGGCAUUUCAUCCCUGAGUGGAGAAGGUGCAGACUACAUCAAUGCCUCCUACAUCAUGGGUUAUUAUCAGAGCAAUGAAUUCAUCAUCACCCAGCAUCCCCUUCUCCACACCAUCAAGGAUUUCUGGAGGAUGAUAUGGGACCAUAAUGCCCAGCUGGUUGUUAUGCUUCCAGAUGGUCAAAACAUGGCAGAAGAUGAAUUUGUUUACUGGCCAAAUAAAGAUGAGCCUAUAAAUUGUGAGAGUUUUAAGGUCACUCUUAUGGCCGAGGAACACAAAUGUCUGUCUAAUGAGGAGAAACUUAUAAUGCAAGAUUUUAUCCUAGAAGCUACACAGGAUGACUAUGUACUUGAAGUGCGGCACUUUCAGUGCCCCAAAUGGCCAAAUCCAGACAGCCCCAUUAGUAAAACUUUUGAACUUAUAAGUAUUAUCAAAGAAGAAGCCGCCACCAGGGAUGGGCCCAUGAUUGUUCAUGAUGAGCACGGAGGAGUGACAGCUGGAACCUUCUGUGCUCUGACGACCCUGAUGCACCAACUCGAAAAAGAAAAUUCCGUGGAUGUGUACCAGGUAGCCAAGAUGAUCAAUUUGAUGAGGCCGGGAGUCUUUGCCGACAUUGAGCAGUAUCAGUUUCUCUACAAAGCAGUCCUCAGCCUUGUGAGCACAAGGCAGGAAGAGAACCCGUCCACCUCUCUGGACAGUAACGGCGCGGCAUUGGCUGAUGGAAAUAUAGCCGAGAGCUUAGAGUCUUUAGUUUGACGUGGAAAGGGGUGAGAAGAGCCCACAUGUACUGCUUCCCUCUUUCUAAAAUUAGACUGGAAAAUCAGUUCCGUUCUGUUAUCUGUUUACUUCACAUCACCUGACAGUUACUACCAUGACAUAGGAUUCUGCUGCCAAAUUUACAUCAUUAACAAUGUGUGCCUUUUUUGCAAAACUUCUUGUAAUUCACUUAUUGUGUUUAAACUAAAAUGAUUGAAAUUUACAGUAUUUCUAAGAAUGGAAUUGUGGUAUCUUUUUUUCAUAUUGAUUUUAACAGAAAAUUUCAAUUUACAGAUACUAGGAAUUCCCAACUAGAAUUCCCAAACAGAAAACAUGUUUGUUUUUAGUGUCAAAUUUUUAGCUGUAUUUGUAGCAAUCAUCAAGUUUGCUAGAAAUAUAACUUUUAAUAUAGUAUACUGUAAAUAAAACACCCUGUUCCCUACGAUAUUCA